CUCCGGGGACGACCCCGGAGGGUUCGCGCCAAGCCGGGACGGCCCGG
rnacentral:ncRNA from 1 species